GCCGGGGUGGUGAAAUUGGUAGACGCGCUGGACUCAAAAUCCAGUGGGAGCAAUCCCUUGCGGGUUCGAGUCCCGCCCCCGGCA
rnacentral:tRNA from 1 species